rnacentral:rRNA from 1 species
AGAGGGUGAUCGGCCACACUGGGACUGAGACACGGCCCAGACUCCUACGGGAGGCAGCAGUAGGGAAUCUUCCGCAAUGGACGAAAGUCUGACGGAGCAACGCCGCGUGAGUGAUGAAGGUUUUCGGAUCGUAAAACUCUGUUGUAAGGGAAGAACAAGUACGACGUAACUACUCGUACCUUGACGGUACCUUACCAGAAAGCCACGGCUAACUACGUGCCAGCAGCCGCGGUAAUACGUAGGUGGCAAGCGUUGUCCGGAAUUAUUGGGCGUAAAGCGCGCGCAGGCGGUUUUUUAAGUCUGAUGUGAAAUCUUAUGGCUUAACCAUAAGCGUGCAUUGGAAACUGGAGAGCUUGAGUACAGAAGAGGAGAGUGGAAUUCCACGUGUAGCGGUGAAAUGCGUAGAGAUGUGGAGGAACACCAGUGGCGAAGGCGACUCUCUGGUCUGUAACUGACGCUGAGGUGCGAAAGCGUGGGUAGCAAACAGGAUUAGAUACCCUGGUAGUCCACGCCGUAAACGAUGAGUGCUAGGUGUUAGGGGGUUUCCGCCCCUUAGUGCUGAAG